rnacentral:rRNA from 1 species
AGCGAACGCUGGCGGCAGGCCUAACACAUGCAAGUCGAACGAACCUUUCGGGGUUAGUGGCGGACGGGUGAGUAACACGUGGGAACGUGCCUUUAGGUUCGGCAUAACUCAGGGAAACUUGUGCUAAUACCGAAUGUGCCCUUCUGGGGGAAGAUUAAUCGCCUUUAGAGCGGCCCGCGUCUGAUUAGCUAGUUGGUUGAGGUAAUGGCUCACCAAGGCGACGAUCAGUAGCUGGUCUGAGAGGAUGAUCAGCCACAUUGGGACUGAGACACGGCCCAAACUCCUACGGGAGGCAGCAGUGGGGAAUCUUGCGCAAUGGGCGAAAGCCUGACGCAGCCAUGCCGCGUGAAUGAUGAAGGUCGGAGGAUUGUAAAAUUCUUUCACCGGGGACGAUAAUGACGGUACCCGGAGAAGAAGCCCCGGCUAACUUCGUG